GUGUAGAAAUGCAGCAAAUACAAGGACAGUGUGCUGAAAACACACUUUGUGGGAGUAUACAACAAGGACUGUAACAGGUAUGUGUUGCACCGUUUGAUGAAAGAUAGACCAGUUGAUGGCUGUACCUGUGAAGAAGAAAAUAUUUUUAAGAAAAAUCACAAUUUAUAUCACUUUCAACACUCCAUCUAGAAGAGAAUAGCUCAGACUUCCCACUCAAUACCGGCCAAAAGAAAAGACAAGAAGGAAUGAGUAAAGGAAGCACUCACCUGACCAUCCAAAUGAACUGACUGGCACACAAAGUAUCAGUCAGAGAGGAGAAGGAACAUUCUGUACUUCUAAGAACUAAAACAGCCUUACCAAACUGGGUGCCCGCUAAUGCUUGUAGUCUGCAACAGGUUUGACAGUUUGGCCUGGACUUGCAUAUAACCCAUUUGUGGAACUGCCCAGAACUUGUAAAUGAGGACUUGUAACCUGAACCUGUCUGCUGAACCUCAACAAAUCUACUGGUCUGCUGCCUACAUACAGGGUGGGCCAAAAGUGAACAUCUUAAGCUGACACUGUUCAAUUACCUGGAGAAGUAUGUUUUUGGUAUAUUUUUGGAUGAUCGGCCCCUAUAUUUGCUGGUGGCAAGUUAUACGCCUCAAUGAACGAAUGUGUGUGUACCCGACGCCCUGGAUGCUGCCAGCCCACCUGCACCACGUGGCCCCACCUGGCUGACAUGCGCUCAGCGCACCCUGCUCCGCCCCCCCCUCCG